GAUGAUUAAGGUGAGAAUAAUGGCUGGCGGCUAUAGAGGGAAAUUGCAGAAAACCCUAAUUGAUUUUGGGAAGAUGAAGUUAAAAUUACGAAAAUACCCUUCAUUAAAAAAAUAUGAAAAAUAAAUGAUUCAUAUGUACAUGAUAUAUUGUACAUACAUAUACACUAUCCACAUGUACAACGAUUCAUGUGUACAUGAAACUAGACAUCCCUUAAAUAAAAAUUACUAAAAUGCCACUCC
rnacentral:lncRNA from 1 species